AGCCAGGUAGUCCAUGAAAGUCUGUCUCAUGGCAGGCCCACAGGCUUAAUGACCUAAAAGGUACAGGGUGGCAGUCCUCAUUGUAUCCCCACUUGAUUUAACAGUCAGGCCCUUCCCAAACCCAUAUGGAUUAGAGGAUGACAGUGGAUUAUUAUAAAAGAUCGAACAAGAAUUGGCUCCAAUUGUUAUGCUAGAACAGACUGAGACAUCCUCAAUUACAUGGCAUCCAGGCUUUGCUCUGGCAAGUGUGUUCAUCUGCCAGGUGAGCAAGACAUGGCAGGUAAGUUGGAGGCCUUGGUAAAAGACAAGCACUACAGAGGGUGGAGAUGGAUCCUACGCAAUUUCAGGGGCCUACUACGGCAGUAACAUUUUAGGGGCAUGACAGCAAUGCUCUCCAAUACAGAGGGUGGAUUAUUGUGUUUCACAUUCCUACCUCUUUUUUUUUUUUUUUGAGACUGAGUCUCACUCUGUCACCCAGGCUGGAGUGCAAUGGCAUGAUCUCAGCUCACUGCAACCUCUGCCUCCCGGGUUCAAGCGAUUCUCCUGCCUCAGCCUCCUGAGUCGCUGAGAUUACAGGCACCUGCCACCACGCCUGGCUAAUUUUUUGUAUUUCUACUAGAGACAGGGUUUCACCAUGCUGGCCAGGCUGGUCUCGAACUCCUGACCUUGUGAUCUGCCUGCCUUGGCCUCCCAAAGUAUUGGGAUUACAGGUGUGAGCCACCACGCCUGGCCAGUUUGAAUAAUUUUAGUGUGCCCUGGGGCAUAAGUCUGUGCACAGUUGUCUGUUACUUAGGUACAAUGUGCGUGGAGUGAAGAAAAAGUGGGAGAGAGGAGUAAUUCUUUUUAUUUUUUUGGUGCUG
rnacentral:lncRNA from 1 species